ensembl:lncRNA
UGCCUCCUGAGGGUUUGACCACGGGGCAGGGGUUUCCAGUACCUGGUUGACUGGGAGGGUUAUGGCCUGGAGGGGAGAUGCUGGGUCCCCGCUAGAGACAUCCUGGACCCAACCCUCAUCACUGACUUCCACCGCCGGCACCCCGGUCAACCAGCAUUGCCUAGCAACACCCGAGGUCAAAGCCAGUUGAGAUUUUACAGGAUUCCGGCGAAUCAGAGGGCCGGUUGGCCAACACGCCCCCGCAGACUGACAGAGGUGCUAACCAUGAUUCAUAGAGGGGGAAAUGGCUUCCUGAAAUCCCUCAAGCAGCUGAUUGGUCGACUCCAGGGCUAAUUGGAGAGCUGACCCCGCCCCCUCGUCAAGACACAGCUGUCUCCAAUUACCCAUUCCUUCAGAAGCUAUAUAAAAGCCAGUGUUCUGUUCAGGAGAUCUUUUUUCUUUUUGUAGAGGAUUUUGCUGGAG